UACGUAGGGGGCAAGCGUUGUCCGGAAUUAUUGGGCGUAAAGAGCGUGUAGGCGGUCCGGUAAGUCGGCUGUGAAAGUCCAGGGCUCAACCCUGGGAUGCCGGUCGAUACUGCCGGGCUAGAGUCCGGAAGAGGCGAGUGGAAUUCCUGGUGUAGCGGUGGAAUGCGCAGAUAUCAGGAGGAACACCAAUAGCGAAGGCAGCUCGCUGGGACGGUACUGACGCUAAGGCGCGAAAGCGUGGGGAGCAAACAGG
rnacentral:rRNA from 1 species